CAUCUCUUUAUGAUUAAAAUAAUAAGUUGACUCUGCCCAAUGAAAUUUAAAUGGCUGCAGUAUUUUAACUGUACAAAGGUAGCAUAAUAAAUUGUUUUUUUAUUGAAAACUAGAAUGAAGGAGGUGAUGAAAUAUAUACUUUAUUAAUUUAAAAUUUUGAAUUUUAUUUUAGAGUUAAAAAGCUUUAAUUUUUUUAAGGGACGAGAAGACCCUAUAGAAUUUUAUAUAAAUAUUAUAAAUUAUAUUAAUAUUUAUAUUUAUUUGGGAGGAAUAUUAAAUUUUUAAACUUUAAUUAAUUAACACAUUUAUAAAUGUAUUAUAUUGAUUUUUUUAAAAAAAAAUUAAAUUAAAUUACCUUAGGGAUAACAGCGUAAUAUUAUUUUAUAGUUCUUAUUGAAAAUAGUGUUU
rnacentral:rRNA from 1 species